rnacentral:rRNA from 1 species
UUGCACGCUGGCGGCCGGCCUCACCCAUGCAUGUCGCGCGGAUGAAGGGAGCUUGCUCCUGGAUUCAGCGGCGGACGGGUGAGUAAUGCCUAGGAAUCUGCCUGGUAGUGGGGGAUAACGUCCGGAAACGGGCGCUAAUACCGCAUACGUCCUGAGGGAGAAAGUGGGGGAUCUUCGGACCUCACGCUAUCAGAUGAGCCUAGGUCGGAUUAGCUAGUUGGUGGGGUAAAGGCCUACCAAGGCGACGAUCCGUAACUGGUCUGAGAGGAUGAUCAGUCACACUGGAACUGAGACACGGUCCAGACUCCUACGGGAGGCAGCAGUGGGGAAUAUUGGACAAUGGGCGAAAGCCUGAUCCAGCCAUGCCGCGUGUGUGAAGAAGGUCUUCGGAUUGUAAAGCACUUUAAGUUGGGAGGAAGGGCAGUAAGUUAAUACCUUGCUGUUUUGACGUUACCAACAGAAUAAGCACCGGCUAACUUCGUG